CAAAAAAUAGUUUAUUUAAAAUAUUAAUUCUGGAAAUUAAUGAAAUAUAUAUAUAUAAUAUUUUUUUGA
rnacentral:tRNA from 1 species